GAGAGUUUGAUCCUGGCUCAGGACCAACGCUGAUUACAGGCUUAACACAUGCAAGUCGAGGGGCAGCAUCGCGAUAGCUUGCUAUUGCGGAUGGCCACCGGCGAACUUGUGAGUAACGCGUAUCCAACCUUCCCGCAACUGGGGAAUAACCUUGCGAAAGUAAGACUAAUACCCCAUGGUCUCCACGGAUGGCAUCUGAAAUGGAGUAAAGGUUUCGGCCGGUUGCGGAUGGGGAUGCGUCCGAUUAGCUUGACGGCGGGGUAACGGCCCACCGUGGCAUCGAUCGGUAGGGGUUCUGAGAGGAAGGUCCCCCACAUUGGAACUGAGACACGGUCCAAACUCCUACGGGAGGCAGCAGUGAGGAAUAUUGGUCAAUGGGCGGAAGCCUGAACCAGCCAAGUAGCGUGAAGGACGACUGCCCUAUGGGUUGUAAACUUCUUUUAUGCGGGGAUAAAGUUCGCCACGUGUGGCGUUUUGCAGGUACCGCAUGAAUAAGGACCGGCUAAUUCCGUGCCAGCAGCCGCGGUAAUACGGAAGGUCCAGGCGUUAUCCGGAUUCAUUGGGUUUAAGGGAGCGUAGGCCGCCUUUUAAGCGUGUCGUGAAAUGUAGGGGCUCAAACCCUGCACUGCAGCGCGAACUGGACGGCUUGAGUACACACAAAGUAGGCGGAAUUCAUGGUGUAGCGGUGAAAUGCUUAGAUAUCAUGAAGAACCCCGAUUGCGAAGGCAGCUUACUGGAGUGUAACUGACGCUGAAGCUCGAAAGCGCGGGUAUCGAACAGGAUUAGAUACCCUGGUAGUCCGCGCGGUAAACGAUGGAUGCCCGCUGUUUGCCACUUUGGUAAGCGGCCAAGCGAAAGCGUUAAGCAUCCCACCUGGGGAGUACGCCGGCAACGGUGAAACUCAAAGGAAUUGACGGGGGCCCGCACAAGCGGAGGAACAUGUGGUUUAAUUCGAUGAUACGCGAGGAACCUUACCCGGGCUUGAAUUGCAGGAGAACGAUCCAGAGAUGGUGAGGCCCUUCGGAGCUCCUGUGAAGGUGCUGCAUGGUUGUCGUCAGCUCGUGCCGUGAGGUGUCGGCUUAAGUGCCAUAACGAGCGCAACCCCUCUCCGUAGUUGCCAUCGGGUGAAGCCGGGCACUCUGCGGAUACUGCCACCGUAAGGUGUGAGGAAGGUGGGGAUGACGUCAAAUCAGCACGGCCCUUACGUCCGGGGCUACACACGUGUUACAAUGGGGCAUACAGAAAGCAGGCGGCCGGCAACGUCCGUCUAAUCAUCAAAGUGUCCCUCAGCUCCCACUGGGGUCUGCAACCUGACCCCAGGAAGCUGGAUUCGCUAGUAAUCGCGCAUCAGCCAUGGCGCGGUGNAUACGUU
rnacentral:rRNA from 1 species